rnacentral:rRNA from 2 species
UGGGGAAUCUUGCACAAUGGGCGAAAGCCUGAUGCAGCAACGCCGCGUGAGCGAUGAAGGCCUUCGGGUCGUAAAGCUCUGUCCUCAAGGAAGAUAAUGACGGUACUUGCGGAGGAAGUCCCGGCUAACUACUUGCCAGCAGCCGCGGUAAUACGUAGGGGGCAAGCGUUAUCCGGAAUUAUUGGGCGUAAAGAGUACGUAGGUGGUUUCCUAAGCGAGGGGUUUAAGGCAAUGGCUUAACCAUUGUUCGCCCCCCGAACUGGGUAACUUGAGUGCUGGAGGGGAAAGCGGAAUUCCUAGUGUAGCGGUGAAAUGCGUAGAUAGUAGGAGGAACACCAGUGGCGAAGGCGGCUUUCUGGACAGUAACUGACACUGAGGUACGAAAGUGUGGGGAGCAAACAGG